rnacentral:rRNA from 1 species
UACGGCGGGGGCAAGCGUUGUUCGGAAUUACUGGGCGUAAAGCGCGUGUAGGCGGCCCGGCAAGUCGGAUGUGAAAGCCCUGGGCUUAACCUAGGAAGUGCAGUCGAAACUGCUGGGCUUGAGUUCUGGAGGGGAAGGCGGAAUUCUCGGUGUAGAGGUGAAAUUCGUAGAUAUCGAGAGGAACACCGGUGGCGAAAGCGGCCUUCUGGACAGUGACUGACGCUGAGACGCGAAAGCGUGGGGAGCAAACAGG